rnacentral:rRNA from 1 species
CCUACGGGUGGCAGCAGUGGGGAAUAUUGGACAAUGGGGGGAACCCUGAUCCAGCCAUGCCGCGUGUGUGAAGAAGGCCCUCGGGUUGUAAAGCACUUUCAGUGAGGAAGAACGCCUGGUGGUUAAUACCCAUCAGGAAAGACAUCACUCACAGAAGAAGCACCGGCUAACUCCGUGCCAGCAGCCGCGGUAAUACGGAGGGUGCGAGCGUUAAUCGGAAUUACUGGGCGUAAAGCGCGCGUAGGUGGCUUGAUAAGCCGGUUGUGAAAGCCCCGGGCUCAACCUGGGAACGGCAUCCGGAACUGUCAAGCUAGAGUGCAGGAGAGGAAGGUAGAAUUCCCGGUGUAGCGGUGAAAUGCGUAGAGAUCGGGAGGAAUACCAGUGGCGAAGGCGGCCUUCUGGGCUGACACUGACACUGAGGUGCGAAAGCGUGGGUAGCAAACAGGAUUAGAUACCCUUGUAGUC